rnacentral:rRNA from 1 species
UCCAGCUCCAAUAGCGUAUAUUAAAGUUGUUGCGGUUAAAAAGCUCGUAGUUGGAUUUCUUCCAGGGGCAGUCGGUCCACACUAUGUGUGCGUAUCUGAUUUGACUUUGGAAUCCUCUUGGGGAGCAUUUGUGCGCUUCAUUGCGUGCUAUGGUAUUCAAGACUUUUACUUUGAGGAAAUUAGAGUGUUCACGGCAGGCAAUCGCCCUGAAUACAUUAGCAUGGAAUAAUAAUAUAGGACUUUGGUUCUAUUUUGUUGGUUUCUAGAGCUAAAGUAAUGAUUAAUAGGGACACUUGGGGGCAUUCGUAUUAUCACGUCAGAGGUGGAAUUCUUGGAUUGUGUUACGACGAACUACUGCGAAAGCAUUUGCCAAGGAUGUUUUCAUCG